AACGAACGCUGGCGGCAUGCCUAACACAUGCAAGUCGAACGAGACCUUCGGGUCUAGUGGCGCACGGGUGCGUAACGCGUGGGAAUCUGCCCUUGGGUUCGGAAUAACAGUUAGAAAUGACUGCUAAUACCGGAUAAUGUCUUCGGACCAAAGAUUUAUCGCCCAGGGAUGAGCCCGCGUAGGAUUAGCUAGUUGGUGAGGUAAAGGCUCACCAAGGCGACGAUCCUUAGCUGGUCUGAGAGGAUGAUCAGCCACACUGGGACUGAGACACGGCCCAGACUCCUACGGGAGGCAGCAGUGGGGAAUAUUGGACAAUGGGCGAAAGCCUGAUCCAGCAAUGCCGCGUGAGUGAUGAAGGCCUUAGGGUUGUAAAGCUCUUUUACCCGGGAUGAUAAUGACAGUACUGGGAGAAUAAGCCCCGGCUAACUCCGUGCCAGCAGCCGCGGUAAU
rnacentral:rRNA from 1 species